UAUAAUUAGACUAGCUGAAGCGACAGGCGUUGUCCUCUCCUACGAACUGUUAAACGCGGGAAGUUGCAAUAAUUGUAACAUUUUUGGAAAAUGUCUAAUGUUCUGUGAGAAUCUUUUACAAGUUUAACUGAGGUAGGGCACAGCAGGAAUUUCCUGCUCAAAAUAUGGAGCAGCCCGACUGGGGUAGUACCUCGACCUUACAGAAGAUCACAG
rnacentral:misc_RNA from 1 species